AUAGAUGUUUGAAAUUCACGUGACGUCACAGUGUAAGCUGUGCUGUGUGUUGUGAGUUCGGCUUCAACCAGCUACAAGUGAACGCCUCAUGAAAUGGCUUACACCCACAUACCCGGUAAAUUACACACUUUGAUGUUCUGCUCCUUCUCCUGACGGUCACGGUAACGAUGUCUGCGCCUCCAUUUCUGUGGAUGUCCAGCGUGAGACACAACUUGAAUCCAACCAGACUGAACACUGACUCCAGGGACGGACGAGCCUGAAGGACACAGCUGUGAUGACCAAUUGACCAUGUUUUGUCUCUUAUGGCAAAGCAGAAAUAUUAAACACUGGGUUCUUAUCUAAAGUGUAUCAAAUCAGAAAGCAAAAGAUACACAUUGUUGUUAUAAGUUUUUAUUAUUUUAACCAACCAUAAUGAAGAUAGAAAUGAAUUCUUAUCCAUGCCACUUAGCAAUGACUGCCACCACCAAACAGUUGCAGGCCAUCUUUAUUUAAGGGAGGAAUUUAGAAGUGUUGUGUAGCUUCUGAUGAUGAUGCAGUCGUCCACGUGUUGACCACCAUGUUGCUGCUGACGACGUCAGGUGCUGCAGUUCCUCAUCUAUGAAGAGAAGAAACGCACUGUUAAAGAAUGUUUUGAGUUGUGUAUGAAGCACAACAGAUUUCAGAUAGAACCGUUGUACUGUGGUCUGGGUUUGUAUCCUAAUGGUUAAAUGCACAUAUUUUUAUCUAAGUCGCUUUUGAUAAAAGUACUGAAAGAAAUACAACAUUGUAAAAAUAGAUAAAAUGUCUUUCUACCUCAUCUGUAAUAUUCAAGGUGAUAAUCUCCCACAGAGCUAUUGAUAACAGUCCACAUCAAGUCUCUCCACUUCCCUCAGUGUGAAAACAUAAUUAUAUAAUUAAUUUGAGAACUGUUUACAACACUGAUGUGUGGAGAUUAAAAUCAUAUCUAAACUGUCUAAUUCACUGUAAAACUCCAUGACAUUCGCAGGCCAUCUGUACUUAAAAGACGAACCUGGAUUGAUCUGUCCAAAAAUCCAAAAGUCUCCCUACCCUCUCUAGUGCCCCUGAGCAAGGCACCUCACUCCCCAAACAUCUGCUCCGUGAGCGCCGUACAUGGUCGCUCACUGCUCUGUGUGUCCUGCACCAGAUGGGUAAAAAGCAGAGAUUAAAUUUCCCUACCUGCAUGAGUGUGCCUUUGCAUGUCUGUGCAUGUGUUUGGGACGAAUAAAUGGAUCUUAAUCUUAAUCUUUUAAUCUUAAUCAGUUGUCUUCCAGUUGACCAGCAUGAAGCUGCAAAUCUCCACCAUGUUGCUGCUGAGGACAUCAGGAGCUGCAUUAAUGAGGAGCAGAAGCGCACUGUUAUGAAUGUUUUGUGUUGUGUAUGAAGCACCACAUAUUUCAGAUAGAACCGAUGUACUGGGGUCUGGGUUUGUAUACUAAUGGUUAAAUGCACAUACUUUAAAUCGCUUUUGAUAAAA